rnacentral:rRNA from 1 species
GGGUAGCCGGCCUGAGAGGGUGACCGGCCACACUGGGACUGAGACACGGCCCAGACUCCUACGGGAGGCAGCAGUGGGGAAUAUUGCACAAUGGGCGGAAGCCUGAUGCAGCAACGCCGCGUGAGGGAUGACGGCCUUCGGGUUGUAAACCUCUUUUAGCAGGGAAGAAGCGAGAGUGACGGUACCUGCAGAAAAAGCACCGGCUAACUACGUGCCAGCAGCCGCGGUAAUACGUAGGGUGCAAGCGUUAUCCGGAAUUAUUGGGCGUAAAGAGCUCGUAGGCGGUUUGUCGCGUCUGCUGUGAAAUCCCGAGGCUCAACCUCGGGCCUGCAGUGGGUACGGGCAGACUAGAGUGCGGUAGGGGAGAUUGGAAUUCCUGGUGUAGCGGUGGAAUGCGCAGAUAUCAGGAGGAACACCGAUGGCGAAGGCAGAUCUCUGGGCCGUAACUGACGCUGAGGAGCGAAAGGGUGGGGAGCAAACAGGCUUAGAUACCCUGGUAGUCCACCCCGUAAACGUUGGGAACUAGUUGUGGGGUCCUUUCCACGGAUUCCGUGACGCAGCUAACGCAUUAAGUUCCCCGCCUGGGGAGUACGGCCGCAAGGCUAAAACUCAAAGGAAUUGACGGGGACCCGCACAAGCGGCGGAGCAUGCGGAUUAAUUCGAUGCAACGCGAAGAACCUUACCAAGGCUUGACAUACACGAGAACGGGCCAGAAAUGGUCAACUCUUUGGACACUCGUGAACAGGUGGGGCAUGGUUGUCGUCAGCUCGUGUCGUGAGAUGUUGGGUUAAGUCCCGCAACGAGCGCAACCCUUGUUCUAUUUUGCCAGCACGUAAUGGUGGGAACUCAUGGGAAAUUGCCGGGGUCAACUGGAGGAAAGGUGGGGAUAAACUCCAAAUCACCAAGCCCCUUAAUGACUGGGACUUCACGCCAGCUACAAUGGGCCGUCAC